UACGGAGGGUGCAAGCGUUAUCCGGAUUCACUGGGUUUAAAGGGUGCGUAGGUGGGGUCUGUAAGUCAGUGGUGAAAUCUCCGAGCUUAACUUGGAAACUGCCAUUGAUACUAUAGAUCUUGAAUACCGUGGAGGUCAGCGGAAUAUGUCAUGUAGCAGUGAAAUGCUUAGAUAUGACAUAGAACACCAAUUGCGAAGGCAGCUGGCUACACGAAUAUUGACACUGACGCACGAAAGCGUGGGGAUCAAACAGG
rnacentral:rRNA from 1 species